rnacentral:lncRNA from 1 species
AAGUUGUAUUGAUAUAUAACAGUUGUACGUAUUUUGAGGGUACAUGUGACAUUUUGAUACCUGUAUACGUUGUGUAAUGAUCAAAUUAGGGUGAUUUGGAUAUCUAUCACCUCAAACAUUUGUCUUUUCUUUGUCUUGGGAACAUUACAAUUCUUCUGGCUGUUUUGAAAUAUAAAAUAAGCUAUUGUUAACUAUAACCUCACUAAUAUACUAUUGAACACUAGAACUUAUUUUUUCUAUCUAAUUGUGUUUUUGUACUGAUGAACUAAUUUCUUUUCAUCCAACUUCCCUUCUUCUUUGUCUUCUACCGAUCCUAAGUCUAAUUUGACCACUUUUCUGCCGGUCCUGUAUUUAAAAAAGAAGGAACUCAAGAAGUAUCAAAAGAAGGAGUGUUCAAGUGGAAAACACUGAAGUAGAUUUUACUUGCUCAGCAUCCCACGGAUUUGGGGGAGAUUUUUGUGUCCAUUGCUUACCUUCAGGUGGCCAGCAAAGCCAACCAGUGGAAUGAAUUUAACAUGUCCACAACUCUGGAAGAAAAGCUGUUGUACAAUGUGCAGUGGGUACAGGUGCACACAGUCUACCGCCAUGGAGUAUAAAUAUAAAACAGAAUUUAUUGUGAGGAAAAACCUAGAAGCAGAAAAGCACUACAGAGGUUCCCCCGAGGUCUCAUUAUUCCACACAAAAAUGUGCUUAGGCUGGGUGUGGUUGAGCUGGAUAUAGCACGGAAGUUUCCAACACAGGGCUCCUAUUCCUUCAAGCCCCUCAGAUUUAAAGGGAACAGGGCGGUAGGACACAUCUCUUUGAUGCUGUAACAAUGGUAAUUUAUAGCUAAGGAAGUGGCUUCCUUGGUAAAAAGCCUCUGGAUCUCUAUGACAAGUCCUAGUCUGAUCUGCUGAUGUGGCUCAGACAUGCAGAGUCCACCCACUGCUUGCCCAACAAAAUGGGGAGGACUGAAGCUUCCCAUGCCAUCUGGAUGUGUCUGUCUUCACAGGUCCAACUCUUUGGCACCUUCUAUUGUACUGAGGAAUAAAGCUUUAAUUUAGAGCAUGUCUCAGUCAACAAGGCACCUGUGUAAACAGCCCCCUGCUCAAAAGGCUGCUGUCUGGACUCUCUCCACAAACACUCAGAGGCUCCAGCCAGCAAGGGAAAGCCACCCUGUACAGUUUGGAAGACAGCUCUUUGAAAACCCAUUGUGGAUGUCACAGUGAUGCAUUGCCUUAUCUUAGGGAUGGAGCUCUGCCGAGGACAACCAGUUGCUGAGAGGCAAAGCUCAUCAUUUUGAAGGGCUAGGUGAAGGCCCAUUUAAUUUCCUCCAGGAGAAAAUGUCACCACCACCAUUGGUAAGCACAGGGGAUGCAGAGUGAAAUUUGGCUACAUCUUCAUACAGAGUUGCUCCUAGAAGAGAAAGACAUGAUUUAUGACUGAAGAGCCAGUAUUUUCCCCUAGGAAAUUUAUUUCAUUUAUGAAUAAAAAAAGGGAAAGAUAUUUAAACAAGAAAUUUCCUAGUUUUGUUGAUGAUCUGAAAACCUCCCCUGCCACUUCGGCUGUAAUAAAAAAAAAAGUAAACUGAAUUCACAACAACUGGUGAUUUCUAUGCCAGUGACUGAGAAGCAGAGAGAUUAAUAUCUCCCCAAACAAAAUUCACUAAUGAUGCUUCUCUCCCCAAAAGAGUGAGUAUUACUUGGUUUCUAGAUAACACAUUUUAUUUCACAUUUCUUAAUGCCCAGGGGAUGCAUAUGCACUCACAUUCUAUCAUUGAUUUAUCCUUCUAGUGGAAACACAAUGCUGACUAUAGCAUGGGCCUCUCUGUGACCAGAAUGCUCAACAAGCAACUUAACAGUUUCCAUGUUUCAGAAUAUGUCAUUCACACACCCCUGGGGAGAAUGUUUAACAUUUCCUUAAAUUGGUGUGAGUUUUCACUAAGGCUACUGUCAUACCAACCAAGCAACAACUAUCAUAGAUAGCUCCAGUGUGCAUAACAUGCUAACUCCUUUUAACCCGUCAGUGUCCUGAUAUGCUUAUUCAGUGUACAAGCUGCUAUAAAAUCAUGUAUUAUCAAUUCUAGAAAAUAUUAGGAGUGCACCGUGGAACUUAAGUUCUAAAUUAUUUUGCAGUAGAUGGCUUUUUAAAGCUAAAUAGGGUCUGGAUAGAGCUUAUAAACAUUUGAUUGAUUAAGUUGUGGAUUAGCUGAUUUAUGAACUAUACUUCAGGUGUUAUGAAUCACUUUGAAACAAUUCAAUUGUUUCCAUGAGUUUGAAUAUGAUCCUCUUCUGGUCCUUUGAAUAAAGGGCCCUAUAGUUUCAUUUUGCAUUGAACUCUGAAAAUUAGGUAGCUGAUUCUGCUUGCAUUUGACAGCAGCUACCUAAUUUGCAAGGUUCAGUGCAAAAUGAAAAUAUGGGGCCCUUUAUUCAAACAGUAUUACAAAGUCCAAGAUAUCAACAUCAGAACGUUAAUGCAAGCCUGGGGCCCUUCUGAUCUUGGACUCUGAGCCACUGCAUAGAUAGCUCUGAGCCACUGCUUAGGUAGCUCUGAGCCACUGCAUAGGUAGCUCUGAGCCACUGCAUAGGUAACUUGCCCAGGAAGCUGGCCGUGAAUGGAAGUAAUGACACACACAUUUUCUUGAGAUUCAAAUGAGAGUAUGUACAUACAAAUACUAAGUAAAGCACAAUGUGGAAAAAUAAUUUACCAGGAUUUGUUAAAUAUCUUAAUAAAGAAUUUAUUGUUACAAGCCUUGUAAAUGUUUUCAUGAAUUUUUUGACCAUUUCCAUGGCCCUGAUUUUGUGAAUAAACUGAAAAUCAGAAAACUCGCAUGCAUUUCAUAUCUUCUAC